UACGGAAGGUCCGGGCGUUAUCCGGAUUUACUGGGCGUAAAGGGAGCGUAGGCGGCCUGCCAAGUCUGAUGUGAAAUACCGGGGCUCAACCCCGAGGCUGCAUUGGAAACUGGCAGGCUGGAGUGCCGGAGAGGCAGGCGGAAUUCCUAGUGUAGCGGUGAAAUGCGUAGAUAUUAGGAGGAACACCAGUGGCGAAGGCGGCUUACUGGACUGUAACUGACGUUGAGGCUCGAAAGCGUGGGGAGCAAACAGG
rnacentral:rRNA from 1 species